AAUCCCUCAAUAUUGCAAAACUAACCCUUUACUUAUUUAGGUCUCAAAAAUGACCCAAUUCGGACAAAAAUACCCCCUCACCCCCUCAGUUAUCUUUUUCAGCCCUUUUUCCCUCCAACUCCAAUUUUCUCUUGUAUUGUGUCUCUUCGUUACCCUUUUUCCCUCCAACUCCAAUUUUCUCUUGUAUUGUGUCUCUUCGUUACCCUGCAAACCCAUUUGUUCCAUCUGUUAACCUGCGAGAAAGAAAUCACGAAGGAUUUUUCCGUUUAUUGCAAGAGAACAAAAAGGCAACACAAUACAAAGAAAAAACAGAAAUUCAUGAAAAUGGAGGAAGAAAAAAAUUCUGUGAUGAAAAAUACGAAACAGAAGAGGUAUAAAAUUUUGGGAAAAAAGAGAAGUGAAAGAAAGCCAGGUUUUGAAACCUCUUCAUCGUCAUCAGAAAAUGAGAAGAAAUCAACUGAUUCAAUUGACAUUCCUCCUCCUCUCCUAUCUUUUAUAUCUAAAAUAUCUAAAGAGGAGUACUUUCCUGGAAAAAUUGCAUGUUUGUCUCACUUGGUAGCCAUUGAAAAUAUUAAGAAGAAAUUGACUGAACCACAAUUGGAGAUGUUUAGAAAAUCAUGUUUUGGUCAUUUUUUACUCCUUCCCGAACUUAGAUUUUCAGCCCAAAUUGUUCAUCAAUUGUUGUUACGUCAAUGUGAAACCAAAAAAGACAAUGAAGUAUGGAUUUUAUUAAAGUCAAAGGGCUUAAGAUUUAGUAAAGAAGAGUUUGCAUUGAUUACGGGCUUGAGUUUUGGUCCUAUUACAAAAUGUGAUAAAAAAUCAUUACGAAUAAGGGACACAUACUUUAAAGGAGAAAACAAGGUGCGUAAUGAUGAGUUGGAGAAAGUUUUUCUUUCUUUAGGAGAGGAAAAGAAAAAGAAAAAGAAUAAGAAAAAUAAAAAAAAAGGAUUUGAAGAUGAAGAGGUGAUAAAGUUGGCACUUUUGUAUUUUUUAGAGCAUGUUUUAUUUGGGAAAGAAGGAAAAAAUUUGAUAGAUAUGGAAUGGGUUGCUUUGGUUGAUAAUUUGGAGGCUUUUAACAAGUAUCCAUG